rnacentral:tRNA from 1 species
AUUAAAUUAGCAGAAGUAAUGUAUUUGAUUUAGGAUCAAAAGGUGUAGGCGUCUACAUUUAAUA